CAUCUCAUCUGGCGAGUGUCUGGCUAUCACAUUAAGGUAUUUAUGCUCAGAUAAUGUCAUUGUUGACAUUGCCAAGGACUUCCGUGUCGGUCUGGAGACUGCACGAGAAGCGAUCCACUUGAAUCCAAGUGCUGUGGGAUGACCUCGCUCCCGAUUAUAUGAAGCCUCCAAAUGAGCAGAUGUGGCGCAACAUUGCUGAUGGCUUCUGGAAGCGGUGGCAGUUUCCGAACUGCCUAGGAUCAGUUAUGGCAAGAACGUUCAGAUUGUGGCACGAGGAAACGCUGGCAGCCUCCACUACAAUUAUAAUGGCAAAUUCUCAAUCGUUCUUAUGGCUGUAGCAGACAGCGUAUAUCUGCUUCGUCUCAUCGACAUUGGGGCUCCUGGCCGCAUCAGUGAUUGAGGCGUCUUCAAACGCUCUCCAAUUGGCCAACAACUGCAUGCUGAUCUGCUGCAGCUGCCUUCACAUUCACAGCUGCCUGGCUCUAACAAAAGGGACGAAGCUCUC
rnacentral:lncRNA from 1 species